GGGUGACCUGCCCCAGCACGCUGUGUGUUCCACAAUGUCCCACCUCUGAGCUGGUCUCCCCCUCUGCGAGCAGUGGGCACACGGGCUGGUCACUGACCGAACAGGAAGGCAGGGUGCAGGGACGGGGCUGCGGCUGCCACAGGCCUUCCAGCAAGACAGGCGAGACAGCACAGGGGCUCCAGGGCGGUGGGUGCCCCCCAGGCAGGCGGGCCCAGGUGAACUGAGCUCAGGGACCCCCGGCCCCCGCCCACAGCCUCGCAGGCAGGCCCGGGCCUGAUUCCGGGCUCCUCCGUGCCGGGCCGGCUCCCCCACGUGCUGCAGGCGCUAGGGCAGUCCCGUGGGGAUGGCCACCAGGAUGAAGAUGCCAGCCCGGCUCUGAGCUGAUGCUCAGUGGCAGGCAGGGAAGCAGACGUCAGGGAGGCGCUCAGGCUGCUCCAGCCAACCCUCCUAGCCCCCUGGGCCAGGACGGGCAGGGGUGCCCGGAGCUGGGGCCAGGGAGGUCACAGCCCUCAGUCAGGAGGGAGGGAGUCGUGGAAACGCCCAUCACAAGGGUGUCUGGGUGGAAGCCCUGCCCCCCACACGGCUGACGCUCGCAAACCACUGGAGGCUGAGAACAGAGGAUUUCACCAAAACCCACACCGGCUCAGGAACGUUUCCUGAGAGCCAGCUCCUGCCUGCAGCGCUGUGGGCAGUCAGCCCAUUCCCCCAGCCCCAGGCUGCCUCCCCGGGCCCCACACUCACGUCCAUGUAGUUCUUGAGCAGCUCGGGAAUCGGCCCCUGCCUCACAGCAGGCUCCCUGGUGGCAUAUUUCGAGAUGGGGCCCUUGGCGAUCAGGUGCUCCACGGGGCCCAUCGCCUCCGACAUGGUCCGGCGGAUGGACGUGAACUUCUGCAGUGGGAUCCUGUCAAGACGGCAGCCGGCGGGCGCGGCCAGCAUGCCAGGCACCUGGGGCUGGCGCCCCGUCCCCACGGAAGCCUCAGGAGAGCGCCUCGUGGCUCCUGGGUAUCAGAGACGGCUGGAUGGGACGCGGCCCCUGGGGGCAUCUCCUGGGGCUUGGAGCAGCUCAGCGCAGGUUGGUGGUGGGGGGCUGACUCCCUGUAGGUGAGGGUUCAGGACGAGAACCCUGAGGGGCCUGUGGACCGGCGGGGCAGUGGGGGCACAGGCACCUCGACACCGCCGCACACUGCAGCAUCACGGACUGGCCGCACAGGCAGCGGGACCUCUGUGAAGACAGAGUGAGCGGGAACAGGAGGGGUCAGGGGGCACAGGGCCAUGAGCAAGAGGUUAGGGAGGCUGCAAAGGAGGGGCCACACGGGGUGGGAGAUGGGGUGCUCGAGGGAUCCCGGACCCCCAGGCCAGGCAGUGUGUGUGCCGAGUGCAGGAGGUGGGGGCAAACCUGGCCAGCCGGGAAGGCGGGCUGGGCAGGCAGGUGAGAGCAGGACCGGAGUGGGGGGAGCACGGAGAGAAAAGCCCACCGUGGGGAAGGUGGGGGGCCAGAGGGACCCUCCUGCCCCUGGGCAAGGCUGCCUGGGUGCUGAAUGGGGACUGUGAACUUGGGGCCCCAGCUGUGUCCUCCCAGGAUGGGGGACCCCCAAUGAGUCCGCACCUCGGUUUCCUUGCUCAUGGAGGGGUCACUUUGCCCCUAUAAUGGGGCUGUCCCAGCAGAGACCCCAGCUCCCGGCGGAGCCCUUGGUGGGCAGAGGGCCAGGGCGGGUCCCGCAGGCUGGUGGAGGCUGGCCCCAGGCCCCCAUCUACGUGGACAGAGAGGCUGAGGCUCAGGGAGGUGGGGUCUUGCCCCCGCUCUGGGGCACAGGCCAUGGGGUCUGCAGGGUCAGAGGACGCGGAGCUGGGGCAGCAGGGCAGAGCAAGCAUUAGGGCCGGUUUGGUGGCAAAGCCCCCCACCCCCUAAAUGACCCAUCCCGAGGGGUCUGGGACGAGGCGUCCUUUGGAGGAGGGGCUGGGGGCUGGGCAGGGGCUCUGGUGGCGGAGACAGCGAGGGUCCCGCUGCUCCGCAUGCUUGGGGCCCCAGGGCCCUGCGGGAGGGCCAAGCCGGAAGCAGACAGACAGGCGCCUGUGCCAGGCUGUGCCUGCUCCCUAGGGGGGCAGCUGAGCUUAAAUGACAGGCAGACCCCUGGACUCUGCCGAGCACGUGAGCCCCUUUAGCCUCGACUGCGGGCAGAGUCGCGCAUGGGGGCGCUGGGGAGUGGGAGGUGGACCCAUGGCACCAAGCAGGAGACGGGAGGGGGAGGCAGAGGCUCCAGCCGGUGCCAGCCACCGGGCGCG
ensembl:lincRNA